GGAGACGUGCGAGAGUGGCCGAUUCGGGCACCCUGCUAAGGUGUUAGGGGGGCAACCCCCUCGAGGGUUCGAAUCCCUCCGUCUCCG
rnacentral:tRNA from 1 species